GCUAAAUGACAGCAGUAAGACAGCUGCCUCCCCGGAUGCCCUGGGGAUAAAACGGUCAGACUUCCUUACCCUGGAUCUCUCUGAACGGCUCAGGGCGGGAGGAACGUUCAGCACCACUCGCUAAGGCUCACAUCUCUCCAGGCGUCACCCAAACCCACCGCCACAGUUACCAAAUUCCCGGAUUCCUGGGCCUCGGUCCAGACCUACAGAAUCAGCAUCUCUGGGGGUGCAGCCCAGGAAUCUGCAUUCUCCAAAGCACCCAGCCUAGUCAGGUCUGGAGAAAGCUGGAGCCCCCAAGCAGCCAGGCAGAAGGAGAGCAGGUGCGAGGAGCAGGCGGGACGGGAGGACACAGACAGGACAACAGAGGAGAAAGGAGACCAGGUGAGGUGGGACGUGGGGCCUGGGGAUGGCUCCCGCCGGGGAUCGGCUCCAGCAGCGUCCCACCCCAACGCGCAGGCAGCGGGGGCUGGGAGUCCUGGCUGCUGGGGGGCCAGGGGCAGGGGACCAGCCGGCCCCGCUCAGAGAAGGGGAACAGUGCCUAGAGGACAAGGACUGUGUCUCAGGCAUCCCCCCAUGUGCCAGGGGCCAGCGAGGGGCUGGUGACACAGGAGGUCCUUG